AUACGUAGGUGACAAGCGUUAUCCGGAUUUACUGGGUGUAAAGGGCGUGUAGGCGGUUUAGCAAGUCAGAAGUGAAAUUCCCGGGCUUAACUUGGGCGCUGCUUCUGAAACUGCUUUACUUGAGUGCUGGAGAGGAUAGUGGAAUUCCUAGUGUAGCGGUAAAAUGCGCAGAUAUUAGGAGGAACACCGGUGGCGAAGGCGGCUAUCUGGACAGUAACUGACGCGGAGGCGCGAAAGCACGGGGAGCAAACAGGAUUAGAUACCCUGGUAGUCCGUGCCGUAAACGAUGAAUACUAGGUGUAGGGGGUAUCGACUCCCUCUGUGCCGCAGUUAACACAAUAAGUAUUCCGCCUGGGGAGUACGGCCGCAAGGUUGAAACUCAAAUGAAUUGACGGGG
rnacentral:rRNA from 1 species